rnacentral:rRNA from 1 species
GUCGAGAAUCUUUCACAAUGGGGGCAACCCUGAUGGAGCGACGCCGCGUGGAGGAUAAGGUCUUCGGAUUGUAAACUCCUGUCAUGCGUGAACAAGGUUGCUUGGUUAAUACCUGGGCAAAUUGAUGGUAACGCAAGAGGAAGAGACGGCUAACUCUGUGCCAGCAGCCGCGGUAAUACAGAGGUCUCAAGCGUUGUUCGGAAUCACUGGGCGUAAAGGGUGCGUGGGUGGCGUGGUAAGUCAGAUGUGAAAGCCCGGGGCUCAACCUCGGAACUGCAUCCGAUACUGCCAUGCUAGAGUACUGGAGAGGUGACUAGAAUUCUCGGUGUAGCAGUGAAAUGCGUAGAUAUCGAGAGGAAUACCACAGGCGUAGGCAGGUCACUGGACAGUUACUGACACUGAGGCACGAAGGCCAGGGGAGCGAACGGGAUUAGAAACCCGGGUAGUCC